GCGUACCGGGGUUAGAAAGAAGAGCAGGUGCGUGGAGGAGGAUGGAAUUGCCGCAGAUGGUCCAGUGGGCUAUUGCAAGGAUUCUGGAAGCUGCGGGAAUUGUUUGAGGACACUUGAAGCACACCUACUACAUUCUUCUGCUGGCGUUAUUCCAGUUUAAAGGAAGCUUGGGGUCUUGCUGUGUUGACCAGGUUGGAGUGCAGUGACAUGAUCUCAGCUCAUUGCAACCUCUGCCUCCUGAGUUCAAGCAUUCUCCUGCCUCAGCCUCCCAAGUAGCUGGGACUACAGGCAUGUACCACCACACCUGGGUAAUUUUUAUAAUUUUUUAGUAGAAAUGGGGUUUCACCAUGUUGACCAGGCUGGCCUUGAACUCUUGACCUCAAGUGAUCCACCCACUUCGGCCUCCUGAAGUGCUGGGAUUACAGGCAUGAGCCACCACACCUAGCUGACAAUUCUUUUAUAAUAUUUAAUUAUAUAGAAUAAAGGGAGAGAAAUAGUGAGGGGGGAUAUGGAAAUGAGUUUUACUUUUCCUCCCAAAGUGGAAGAAAGUAACAACAAUCUGUGAACAUGUUUAAAUGCUGAUGGGAAGGAACUGGUAGAGAAGGAGAGCUGAAUGUGGGGAACUGGAAAUUAUUCCUUGAAUCUGUUCUUCCUUUCCGUCAUAGUAAAAGAGUUUUAGUUAGGCACCUGGCCAUCCAGGUAGAAACUACAUUUCCCAAACUCCCUUGCAACUAACGGUCUGAAUAGUGACUAGGUUCCCCUAGUAAUGCACUCUCUUGGUAUGCUGGAAGGCAGAAUGAGGUAUCCAGCACAGUUGUGGUCUUCCAGUGGAAUUCUAGGGUUCAUCAUUCAGAAACUGGUGGCAGUGGCAGUGGCAGUUUUUAAAUUUGUCUCUUUAAAGCCCUGUUAUUAGCAACCAGCUCUGCUACUACCUAGCAGGAGGUUUGGAGAACACCUCUUCACCAAGCACUGGGGAAGGGUCCUUCCUUGGUAGCUGUCCUCUGACUUCCAGAGAAGACAAUGGAAAUGCUGCAAAAAUGGCAUGUCCCGAUUACAAGGAGAAAAUGGGAUUCCAGAGAGAUGGAGGGUAGGUGGGAGAUGUUAACAGACAAAGACAAAUUUAUGUGCAGUUAGCACAAUGCGUCAUGGAGAAGGAAUGGUCGUAGGAGUGUUUCGAAAUGAAAUCAACAGGCAGCUUACUGAGGUCCACUGAGUAGACCUAGACCUCUAGGACUACUGGGCAGAAACAAACUAGACACCAUGUUAGGAUUCAUGGCUUCCUACUAGAGUCUCAGAACUCAGCCAGUGGACGGAUGAAGCCCCUCAACAGAGAUGGAGGCCAGGUGCCUCUGAAGAAGAACUCUGUAGUUUAGCCAUAGUGUAUCCAGUGGAUUUCCUCCCAAGUCUUCCACAGGGUGACCUGGAGCUAUUCACCCAGGGGUCUGUGGACUGGGAGAAGGGAAUAUAAAACCUACUGGGAAGUAUCACAUACUGGCUCUGAUUUUACACUUAUGCCAGAGACCAAAAACAUUACAAUCGUCUGCCAAAGUAGGGCUUAUGGAUGUUAGAUGAAUUUGUGGGUCCAAUUCAUGUAACAGUGGACCUACUGGGAUUGCAGGCCCAUCCAGUGUAUAUUAUCCCAGUCCCAGGAUAUCUGGUGGGAAUACAUACACACACACAUAUAUGCAUACAUGUACACAUACACAUGCAUGUACACAUACACAUGUACAUGCAUAUACAUACACAUAUAGUUGGUAACUAGCAGGAUACCAUUCUGGUUCCCUGUCCUGUUGAGUGAAGGCUACUAUGAAAGGAAGGACUAUCUAGGGCCACUGGAGCUCUUCCCAAACAAUUCACCAAGCUAGUAAACAGUAAGCGAUCCUGCUGGGGGGAUUGUACAAAUUACUGCUGCCAUAAAGACCUUGAGAGAAGCAGGGGUAGUAAUUCCUACUAUAUCUGCAUAAAACUUUUCUAUUUGGCUGGAACAAAAGCCUGACGGGCCUUGAAAAUGACAGCAGAUUAUUGCAAACCUAAUCAGGUGGUGACAUUAGUUGCAGCUAUGGUUUUAGAUACAGGAUAUUUACUGAAACAAAUGAUCCCCCCAGGCACCUGACAUACAACUGUUGUCCUGAAAAUACAUUCUUUCCCAUCCUAACCAGUAGGCAAAAUCAGAAGCAGUUUGCAUUUAUAUAGCAGAGACAAGGGUAUAUCUUUAUUGUAUUCUGUGGAACAUCACACGAGUUCUUUACAUUGAUGAGCAUGUUGUUUGUUGGACCUAGUGAGAAGGAAGUAGAAAAUAUAUAUGCUAAGGGUGGGAGAUAAACCCUCUGAAAGUUCAGGGCCCUGCCACCACUUUGGUGACAUUUGAAAAGAGUCCAGUGGUUUGUAGCAUGUUAGGAAAUCACAAAUGGCAGGACUUUGCACCCUCCACCACAAAGAAAAAGCCACUGUAUUUGAUGAGCCUCUGGAUUUUCGUGACAACAUAUACCACAUUUGGGCAUGCUGCACUAACCUACUUAGGAAAUAACCUAUAAGCUUCCAGUCUUAAGGAAGUCCUGGAACAAGAAUAAGACCUGCAGCAUGUCCAGGCUGGGUUGAAAGUUGACAUGCCACUUGAGUCUUAUGACCUAAUGGAUUCAAUGGCAUUGGAACUGUAGCAUGGCAGCAGAGAUGCUGUUUGGAGACUCUGGCAAGUCCCAGAACAAAGUACUUGGUUGUCUAGUGACUGGACAAUCUAAAACACCCACCACAAACUAUCAUCUGAUCACAACCAUAAAACUGGGCAUGCCCAGAAGUAUUCCAUUGUAAAAUGGAAAUGGCAAUUACGAGACGAAGCCCUAACAGGUCCAGAAGAUACCAAUAAACUAUUUUGUAAACUGAGCAUGAGCAAAAGGCUCAGACUCAUAUCUUAUUGUGAGUUGGUAUCAAUUCAGACAUACUGUUACCUGAAACCUGAAAUAUUAGUAUAGUUACAUUUAAGAUGUGGGAAGUUGGGAGGGAGAAACAACUAAAUAACACAAAAUACAGCGACUACAAUCCUCCAGGUUGAAAACUGUAUGAAUAUUGUAAUUUUUCAUUACCUUUGACAGCUCUAAGUUACAUGGUUGUGAUGCUCACACAUAUUUAGUUUUUUUUCUCCUCUUAGAAACCUGAAAGAUUACACUUUGCUGUCCUCCUCGCAGUUGGGGCCAUGUGGUCCUGGCCAAUAGGUUAUGAGGUGAAGUCACAUAUAUCACUUUCAGGCUGAAGUAUUUAAUUGCUGUUGUAAUAAUCUGUUGCACUCUCUCCUCUUACUUCAGCAAAUCUUGCUACCUGGAGCAGCUGGAAUGAUCCUAGAUGACUGAAACGUGCAAUGUGUUGGUCAACACUAAAUAAAAUCAAAUGUCCAUCUGAAAUUGGCUGAUACUGCAUCAUCAUCAUUCCUAUUUUACCCACGGAGAAUGUGAUUCAUUAUGAUUUUUGAAUAUGCCCUCAUUCUCCUGUGGCUACCGAAAUGGCCUGCUGCAGAUUUGACCCAAUUAUUUCAACCAUCUUCACGUUUGAUUCUCAUCACUAUGGGCUGAAUGAACUCUGUGGCCAUCGACACUGAUUAUGAAGGGGCUUGCAGGGAUAAGGUCGGCUGUGCCACAGACUAAUAAUCUGGCACAGAAACAUUCUCAAGACUCUGUUUAGAAAAAAAUCAGUGGAAAAGAAGAUGCUGAUCCGUUGAAAUUCUUUUCUGUUUGAAUUUUCAGCUACACUGUCACCAGCAUUAAAAAAAAAAAAAAGUAAAAUAACAGGCCAGGUGUCCUGAAAUAGGCCCCCCAUGUCUUUGGAAAGAGCAAAUGGGUGACAAUAUCCAGAUCUGAAGGUUACAGCAACACGAAGCUGACCAGUCUGGUUUUGCUCAGGGAACCCAGAGCUGUGCCUUGUGUAUUUUCUGAAAGAGGUGAAGGAAGGCAGAGCGAAAACAAAGUUUGAAAGCGAAGACUAGUAUACUUUUAUGCAAAAAAAUAUAAUACCAAAAUGAAGCCUGGUGGCCCAGUUUUCUUUCGAGUUAUAGGUAAUUCCUCAUAUUUCUAGUAAUGAGCCAUUAUUGUAUUGUAUUGCAUUGCAUUGUAUUGUAUAUUAUUGUAUAUUGCAUUAGCCAUACCAUUGUUGUCUUUAUCCAUGACCUGAAAGAAUUUCAACUUCAAGAAGAGACUGUAGUUUCUUAACUAGAUUAUUUUAAGUGUGGGAGAUUAUAUGUUUGUGCGUGUGCAUAUGAAUAUACAGUUACAAACUCUUACAUCUAGCAGGGUUUUGUUUUUCCCCAAAGAUGGUUUAUGACACUAGACACUUUCUUGUUGUGAAAGCUUAUUGAUGUUAACUCAUAUUUCUGUUUAUAAUAUUUAUAUUAUUUGUUUUUAUAAACAUAUCUUACAUAUUACAUGUAUAAUAUGAAAGAUCAUAUUUAUUUUGGAAACCACAUAAUAUUGCUGAUUUAAUAAACAGAUUUCUUUAGCCUUACCUGGCAGCUCUUUUUUCAAGAAAAGGUUAGAAAUCUUACAACUUAUCUCUUAGUUGCUAUUUUAAUCACUGUUUUCUUUUUUUUUUU